GGAAGCUUGCUCCCUUCCGUCAGCGGACGGACGGGUGAGUAACACGUGGGUAACCUGCCUGUAAGACUGGGAUAACUCCGGGAAACCGGGGCUAAUACCGGAUGCUUGAUUGAACCGCAUGGUUCAAUCAUAAAAGGUGGCUUUCAACUACCAAUUACAGAUUGACCCGCGGCGCAUUAGCUAGUUGUGAGGUAACGGCUCACCCAGGCGACGAAUUCGUUGCCCAACCUGAAAAGGUGAUCGGCCAACACUGGGGACUGAGAACACGGCCCAAACUCCUAACGGGAGGCAGCAGUAGGAAUCUUCCGCAAUGGAACGAAAGUCUGAACGGGAGACAACGCCCCGUGUANUUAUGUAAAGUUUUCGCGGAUCGCUAAAACUCUGUUUGGUUAGGGAAAAACAAAGUUACCCGNGUCCGAAUUAAAGGCCGGGACCUUUAAAGGGACCCUAACCCAAAAGGCAAGGGUUAAAUUNAACUUUCGCCAACAACCGGGGGUAAUAUCGUUAUGGGUUGGCAAGCGUUUUCCGGGAAAUUAUUUGGGGCGUUAAGGCGCGNCGCCAAGGCGGUUUUCUUUUAAUCUUGAUGUUAAACCCCCCGGGCUCAACCGGGGGANGGUNAUUGGAAAUGGGGAAAUUGAAUGAAAGAAGAGANUGGAAUUUCCCGUUUAGCGGUUAAAUUGGUAUAAAAUUUUGAGGAACACCNUUGGGAAAGGGGCAACUCUCCUUGUUCUUUUACUUAACGCUAGGCGCGCAAAAAGCUGGGGGAGACGAAACACAGGAUUUAAUACCCUCGUAUUCCCCCCCCUAANAUAAUGUCUUAUGUUUAGAGGGUUUCCCCCCUUUUUUUCAAACCCUUAACCCCCCCCCGNGGGAAUCNGCGCGCGAA
rnacentral:rRNA from 1 species